rnacentral:rRNA from 1 species
UACGAAGGGGGCUAGCGUUGCUCGGAAUCACUGGGCGUAAAGCGCACGCAGGCGGCUUGAUAAGUCAGGGGUGAAAUCCCGGAGCUCAACUUCGGAAUUGCCUUUGAUACUGUCUGUCUUGAGUCCGGGAGAGGUGAGUGGAAUUCCUAGUGUAGAGGUGAAAUUCGUAGAUAUUAGGAAGAACACCAGUGGCGAAGGCGGCUCACUGGCCCGGUACUGACGCUCAUGUGCGAAAGCGUGGGGAGCAAACAGG